rnacentral:rRNA from 1 species
CGCGUUGGAACUUACCCUCUAGUCAAGGAUAACCACCCGAAAGGGUGAUCAAUCCUGGAUAUGGUCAUGUAUUCUUUACAUGAUCAAAGGCUUCGGUCGCUAGAGGAUAGGCCUGCGUCCUAUCAGGUUGUUGGUGAGGUAAAAGCUCACCAAGCCUAUGACGGGUAACUGGUCUGAGAGGAUGAUCAGUCAGACUGGGACUGCGACACGGCCCAUACUCCUACGGGAGGCAGCAAUUAGGAAUCUUGCGCAAUGGACGAAAGUCUGACGCAGCGACGUCGAGUGGUGGAUGAAUGCCUUCGGGUUGUAAACACCUUUUGCACGUGAACAAGUUCUGAAUGUAACUUACGAAUUAAGCACCUUCCAUCUACGUGCCAGAAGAAUCGGUGAUACGUAGGGUGCAUGCGUUUUCCGGAAAUUACUGGGCGUAAAGAGAUGCGUAGGCGUCUUAGUAAGUCUAUAGUGAAAGCUUCCAGCUUAACUGGAAAAAUGUUAUAGAAACUACUUUGAUUGAGAGAGACAGAGGAAAGGGGAAUUCCUGGUGGAGCGGUGAAAUGCGUUGAUAUCAGGAGGGAUACCAAUGGCGAAGGCACCUUUCUGGGUCUCAUCUGACGCUAAGGCUCGAAAGCUAGGGUAGCAAAACGGAUUAGAUACCCGUGUAGUCCUAGCCGUAAACGAUCCCUAUUAGAUAUUUGUUUUGGUUGAGGUAUUUGACUUCGGUUAAAUACGGACGCUGAGAUGAGUAUCACAGCUAACGCAGUAAAUAGGGCGCCUGGGGAGUACGGCCGCAAGGCUAAAACUCAAAGGAAUUGACGGGGACCCGCACAAGCAGUGGAGCGCUUGGUUUAAUUCGAUGCUAACCGAAGAACCUUACCAAGGCUUGAACUGUAGCUGUGGUCACGUAGAAAUAUGUGACGUCUUCGAGAAUGCUACAGAGGUGCUGCAUGGCUGUCGUCAGCUCGUGUCGUGAGAUGUAGGGUUAAGUCCCACAACGAGCGCAACCCCUGUCCAGUGUUAUAAUUACUCUGGAGACUGCCUUGCCAAAACGGGGAGGAAGGUGGGGACGACGUCUAGUCAUCAUAGCCCUUACGUCUUGGGCUACACAAGCGCUACAAUGGUUAGUACAAUGGGUGGCCAAACAGCAAUGUGGAGCUAAUCCCAUAAAACUAAUCUCAGUUCAGAUUGUCGGCUGCAAUUCGCCGGCAUGAAGUCGGAAUUGCUAGUAAUCGCGUAUCAGCAUGACGCGGUGAAUACGUUCUCGGGUC